ACCAGUUGUGUUUAUGUUCUGCUUUGUGUUGUCCAUUUUUU
rnacentral:sRNA from 1 species